AUGCCCUUGGUGCAAUUGGAAGCACGGCGGACUCCAAAUCCGUAAGAUGCAGGUUCAAAUCCUGCGGGGCGUG
rnacentral:tRNA from 2 species